UUCGCAAUGCCCGAAAGGGUGACGAAGCGACGCCGCGUGUGGGAAGAAGGCCUUCGGGUUGUAAACCACUGUCGGGAGUUAAGAAAUGCAAGGGUGUUAAUAGCGCCCUUGCUUGACUAAGGCUCCGGAGGAAGCCACGGCUAACUCUGUGCCAGCAGCCGCGGUAAUACAGAGGCGGCAAGCGUUGUUCGGAAUUAUUGGGCGUAAAGAGCACGUAGGCGGUUCUGCAAGUCGGCUGUGAAAGCCUUCCGCUCAACGGAAGAACAGCAGUUGAUACUACAGGACUAGAGUGCGGGAGGGGAGAGUGGAACUUCUGGUGGAGCGGUGAAAUGCGUAGAUAUCAGAAGGAACACCGGCGGCGAAAGCGACUCUCUGGCCCGUAACUGACGCUGAGUGUGCGAAAGCUAGGGGAGCAAACGGGAUUAGAUACCCCGGUAGUCCUAGCCGUAAACGAUGGGCACUAAGUAGAGGGGUUUU
rnacentral:rRNA from 1 species